AUCCCAGCCUUCAAGGAUCUUACAUUCCUACUGGGGAGACAACAUAUAUAUAUAUAUAUAUAUAUAUAUAUAUUAGUGAUAGGAACAGACCUAUAAUUUCAUUGGUAUCGCCUAUACCAAACAGGGGUCCCCAAACUUUUUAAACAGGGGGCCAGUUCACUGUCCCUCAGACCAUUGGAGGGCCAGACUAUAAAAACCUAACCUAACCAGGCAGCAAUAUACACAGUGUGGAAUCCCCUCCCCCAGAUCACUGCUCACCAUGCUGAUGUCUUCCAUUGUGCCGCCACAUAAUCUUUUGCACUGGCGCCUCGUUCUAAGGAUCCACGCAAAGGAUUAUGUCACCGGAAGUAGUACUGUACAGGAGCAACACAGUGCUUUGCGGAGCAGCCACCUACAGUGCUCCUCUCAUGGACCACCAGUGAAAGAGAUGUUCGGAGGUGUCAGAAGUGAGGAGACUCUGGAAAUGAGCUGCUGUGAGACCUCGAUGGGGGCCAUUUGGGCGUUCCGUGAAAACUUGAAGUCCAUGAUGCCUCCCAGGAAUUUGACGACUCUGGAAAUCUGCCUCAUUCAAAUCCAAGUCAUUCUGGAGUCAAGACAUCAAACUGUGAGGCCACUGAUUCCUGUCAAAAACAAAGGACCAACAGCUCCUGUAACAACAUAUCCACCUGGGGGUUGAACUUGGGCAAAAGUAUUAUAUCACUUAAAUUUUGAUUGAGUUAAUUCAUAUCAAAAUGCCUAUUUUAAAGAAGAAGAAAAAAGAAAUUCAUACAUUAUGGAGCCACAAAUUCUUAACCAAAUAUAUUGUCUGAGUCUAUGAGAGAAAACAUUAGCAAAGAUUUUGGGCUUGUUCAAACAGGGAAAGGGAGGCCUGAUGGGACUUGCACAGAUGGAAGAAG
rnacentral:lncRNA from 1 species